rnacentral:rRNA from 1 species
UACGAAGGGGGCUAGCGUUGCUCGGAAUCACUGGGCGUAAAGGGUGCGUAGGCGGGUCUUAAGUCAGGGGUGAAAUCCUGGAGCUCAAUUCCAGAACUGCCUUUGAUACUGAAGAUCUUGAGUCCGGGAGAGGUGAGUGGAACUGCGAGUGUAGAGGUGAAAUUCGUAGAUAUUCGCAAGAACACCAGUGGCGAAGGCGGCCCGCUGGGCAGUGGCUGACGCUGAGGCGCGACAGCGUGGGGAGCAAACAGG